rnacentral:rRNA from 1 species
CCUACGGGAGGCAGCAGUGAGGGAUAUUGCGCAAUGGGCGAAAGCCUGACGCAGCGACGCCGCGUGGGCGAGGAAGGCCUUCGGGUUGUAAAGCCCUUUUGGCAGGGAAGAGCAAGGACUGUACCUGCAGAACAAGUCACGGCUAACUACGUGCCAGCAGCCGCGGUAAUACGUAGGGUGCGAGCGUUAAUCGGAAUUACUGGGCGUAAAGCGUGCGCAGGCGGCUUUGUAAGACGGAUGUGAAAUCCCUGGGCUAAACCUAGGAAGGGCGUUCGUGACUGCAAAGCUAGAGUGCGGCAGAGGGGGGUGGAAUUCCUGGUGUAGCAGUAAAAGGCGGAGAGAUCAGGAGGAACACCGAUGGCGAGGGCGGCCCCCGGGGUUGGCACUGACGCUCAUGCACGAAAGCGUGGGGAGCAAACAGGAUUAGAUACCCCUGUAGU